AAUGUAGUUCAAGUCUCCUCCUCUAAACCUACUCUGAUGGACUGAUACUGUCUUGGGUGGGAUAAUCCUCAUCUUAUAUUUCUUCUCUGUUUUUUAGGAUGUUUUCUCCCUGGAAAAUGUGUCAACAAUUGAAGAUUUGGAAGAAGACAUAGACGGUAACUUGGUUUAGAUAUACAAUAUGUUAAUAAGAAUAAAAAGGAUGAAUUAGGUUGAAAACAAAACCACUUGGGCGAUGUAUGACACAAAGUAUUGUUUCUCUUGAGCAGUAGAUGACAGUGAAGCAUCCAAAUUCUCAGAUUCUAGUUCCUCUCAAGAUGAUGUCGUCAUAAUUUCUCCGAUACGAAAACCAAAGAAGGGAGAAAAACUAAUAGUGGAAAUCCUGUCCCUCACAUUUGAACCCAAUUCACACGUGGCAAUGAAUGAGUCGGUGCAGCAAGUCUUUGUGGAGUACCGGCUGUUGGGAGUCCCCAUGGAGACCACAGAGACACCCAUGUCGCUGCGUAAGCCUAUGGAAGGGGAGGAGAUCCACUACAACUUCACAAGAGUGAUAUAUGUGGAUGGUUCCCACUCAGCUCCACUCAGACAGUAUCUUUACACCAUGCUGGAGGGGGCGGACCCUAAUCAGGGCAGGUAGGUUUUUCCAUUUAAUGUUUGCUGUGUGUUUGUAUUUCCAAUCCUAAACGGCAACAGAAAGAAAUCAUGGGUUUGUGUGUAUCAUGGCAGGUUAAAGUUCACUGUGGUCAGUGAGCCAAUGGAUGAUGACGAUGAAUGUGUGGAUGUCGGGCAUGCUUUCCUCAACCUUAAGGAGUUGCUGCUCUCAGGAAAUGAUGUCAUCAAACAACAGAUUGACAUUUUGAGUUUGGAUGAGGGCCGGGAAGUGAUUGGAAAUCUAAAAGUAUCUCUGGAAGCAGCAAAAGCUCUGUCAGGAAUUUACCAGGAAUUUCAUCAGGAAGAGAGCACUGAGGAAAAAGAUGAGACGGAGGAGGAAGAAGAAGAGGAAGACGAAGAGGAUGAAAGCGAGGAGGAGGUGUCAAGGGAAGAGAAGAACAAAGAUCCGAUGCAAGUGAUAGAUUAUGACAGUGAUGUAUUUUAACUGUGAGAAUUUCACACUGUUUUAGUUACCAAUUGAUGCAGUUCCUUUUGUUGUCCGUAGCGUCAUCGGCAUUUCCUUAUGAAUAUGAAUUGUUUUUCUCUGAAAUGUCUUCUUUUUUCUUUUUUUUAAAAAAACCAAAUAAAUAAAUAAAUGUAAUUUUAGGGAUGGCA
rnacentral:lncRNA from 1 species